UCUGCUGCUGGGUCGCCUGUGGCGGA
ncrna:Edwardsiella hoshinae NBRC 105699 = ATCC 33379 L25-Gammaproteobacteria ribosomal protein leader